rnacentral:rRNA from 1 species
GAUGAACGCUGGCGGCGUGCUUAACACAUGCAAGUCGAACGGAAAGGCUCCUGCUUGCCGGGGUACUCGAGUGGCGAACGGGUGAGUAACACGUGGGUGAUCCGCCCUGCACUUCGGGAUAAGCCUGGGAAACUGGGUCUAAUACCGGAUAGGACCACAUUUUGGAUGGUGUGGUGGAAAGUUUUUCGGUGUGGGAUGAGCUCGCGGCCUAUCAGCUUGUUGGUGGGGUAAUGGCCUACCAAGGCGUCGACGGGUAGCCGGCCUGAGAGGGUGUACGGCCACAUUGGGACUGAGAUACGGCCCAGACUCCUACGGGAGGCAGCAGUGGGGAAUAUUGCACAAUGGGCGCAAGCCUGAUGCAGCGACGCCGCGUGGGGGAUGACGGCCUUCGGGUUGUAAACUCCUUUCGCUAGGGACGAAGCGCAAGUGACGGUACCUGGAGAAGAAGCACCGGCUAACUACGUG